rnacentral:rRNA from 1 species
AUUGAACGCUGGCGGCGUGCUUUACACAUGCAAGUCGAACGGCAGCACGGGAGCAAUCCUGGUGGCGAGUGGCAAACGGGUGAGUAAUACUUCGGAACGUACCUUCUAAUGGGGGAUAACUACUCGAAAGAGUGGCUAAUACCGCAUAUGUCUAAGGAUGAAAGCGGGGGAGCGUAAGACCUCGCGUUAGUUGAGCGGCCGAAGCAAGAUUAGGUAGUUGGUGAGGUAAAGGCCCACCAAGCCUGCGAUCUUUAGCUGGUCUGAGAGGACGAUCAGCCACGCUGGGACUGAGACACGGUCCAGACUCCAACGGGAGGCAGCAGUGGGGAAUUUUGGACAAUGGGGGCAACCCUGAUCCAGCAACGCCGCGUGAGUGAAGAAGGCCUUCGGGUUGUAAAGCUCUUUUGUUAGGGAAGAAAUCCGCUAGGCUAAUACCUUGGGAGGAUGACGGUACCUAAAGAAUAAGCACCGGCUAACUACGUGCCAGCCGCCGCUGUAAGAC